rnacentral:lncRNA from 1 species
UGAUCAAGCGGUCGGGGUUCCAGCCCUGAGAGCUGUAGUGGGUGUGACUUUGGGGACCAGAACCUCGCAGCCCCUGAGAUCCUGUUACCACCAGAACUGUCGCCUCGCCCUCCCUCGCCGCUUCCAAUGCACACACCGAGCAGGUGCGGUCAGAGGCCAGUGGCUGAUAGGCUCAAAACCCACAAAACAAAAGAAUCGAGAUGAUGACAGACCAGGGUUGCCACUGUGGGAAUCUGGGACCCCCGCCCAGGCCCCAAGGCCGGCAGCUUCUCUUUGGACACUUGCUUCAGAAGAGCGCCCAGGGCUCUGCGCCUUUCCGAGGCCCUUUCUCCUCUGUAUUCUGCUGCUUCUAUCCAUGGCCCCUGAAUGGAAAUGGAAGCUUAAUUUUUCUCGCUUGAAGCCAUUAACACUCUGGGCUCGUGAUGGGAACACCGCUCAGCUUUAAUUAGCCACAGCAAGCUCCCUGCAAGAGCUUCUGUCCCAGCCCGGGACCUCACAGACAAAGGCUUCUCCAUUUCUUCUAAUCACCGCGAUUAAUGAGCCAAUUAAGGCCGUCUCUGGGGGCCCGGCAAGCAGCAGUCUUAGGACCUUGGGCACGCAGCUCUACCCAGCUGCCAGGAAGCGUGCAAAUGCCUGGAGCUGGGAGCCCCGGCUCUGCAGCUCAUCUGCUGUGGGUCCUCAGAUGGAACAAUUGCCCUCUCUGAGCCACUUUCUACCGCAGGGGAGAAUCACAUUGGUUUUCCCCAGGAGCAGUUAUUACAAUAGGAGAAAUUGCAGGGCAGGCAGCCGUUUUCUCAGGAUUUAGCGUGCGUCAGCCUCACCAGGAGGCCUUAUUAAAACGUUUGCCUGGGUUCCAUUCUGAGCUUCUGACUCAGUUGGUCCAGGAAGGGUGGUGUGCAAGAAUUUGCAUUUCUAACAUCUUCCCCAGUGAUGCUGAGGCUGCUAGUUUGAGAAGCACUGCUCCAGACUAGUGAGGUACGACUGGAGGUUUCGAAGGCAGUCCCAUCCAUAAAUGUCCUCGACUCUUUCCUUCACCUGCACCGCACCUGACAGUUCCCAGGAGCCUCCCACCUGGGCUGUCCACAGGAGGACAUGCCAGCCACUGUCACUGUCCGGCAUGGAGGACCCCGGGUGCACUCAGCCUUGGCAGAAUUCGGCAGGACCACUCCUUUGCCUGACCUUGGUUCUAAGAUUCCAGGUCCUGAUGUUGACUGACAUCUCGGAAGACUCCAGCACCUCGUCUGGGAGGGAAAAUUGGAUUGGGACGUCCUGAUUCCAGAGCAGACGCAGCGCAUGGGGUCGUCACCACCGCCGUCGUCGUCAUGACUGAUGCGCUGCCUGGUGGACACAGGCGAGAUGGAGAUGAGCAGGAAGGAGGGCAAGGGGGUGUGGCAGGGUCAUGCGUGGGAUGUGGGGGCACUGGUUAGAUCUACUGUUGCCCGACUGACAUCCCGCUGGAGUCCCUUGGGCUGCAUUUUGCCGUUUCCUUAAGGCAGCAGAGACAGACUCACUCACUUCGGCUGCCGCCCCCUGCCUGCAAUGGCUGAGCGCACGGGUACCGUCAUCCUGUGCUUCCAGCUUUAAAGACAGACAUUUGUGGUCAAAGAUGUUAGCAGUUCAGGUGCUGAGAGUGCUGUGUUUCAGCUGGGGCUGGGGAUCCCCUCUAGACCCCACCCCCACCCCCGAUGCUCCCUCCCACCAGCCGAGUCCUUCUUCAUCCCCUACCCGCCACCCCCACGUCUAGUUCAGCCUUUCCAGCCCACCACGAGUUCCUCAGAGCUUGCUCCUGAGCAUGCUGUCUUUGGUGGUCUUUGCUUUCUGGACAGCGCAUCCCAAAGUGUGUGCCUGGGGGCCUUGGGAGGUGUGCGCAGCUAUGAGAUGAUGAAGUGUCACUCAGGGCGUGCUGGACUCGGUAAAGUAAGUUAGGUCUCUUCUCUGCAGAACUUCUCAGAGCCUUGAGUCUACUCCUGGGGGUUGGGAGACUCAAGAGGGAUGCUUAAGGAGCAGCAUCUCUCAAGCUCCUUUCACCACGGCGUGUACUCUUCCCCCAGAGGCCGGUGUUCUGGUGGAGAGGAGCUUAAGAAGAUUCAGGGGCCUGUGAACAUGGGGUCCCCUCCCUUGUACUGACACCUCUUCCAACCGAAAAAUGUCACAUCUGUGCAGUACAGAGUAGUCCUUACCUUGGAGGGCUAUUGGAAGGUGUAAGUGAGGUGGCAUACAAAAGACACAGCCCAGGGUGAGGUAUACAGUAGGGGCUCAGUAGCUGUGCGUUUUCUCCUCUCCCUCUUGCUCUUCUAGUGGAAGUAUACAGUCAGAGUCACAUAUGAACCGUGCCAAACAGCGUGUGUGACAAGGACUGGGCCUAUGAGGGUAAAGCCACACUCAAAUUCACAGAGUCGGGGACCCGGCCAUCCAAGUGGGCUUCCUGGUGGAGGUGGUCUUUGCCGGGCCAGACUCUGAAGCUAGUUCUCCAGCAAAGGCCUGGAGCAGGGGAGGCAGGAGGGGGAGGCUGUAGAACCGCCUCUCUCUCUGCAAGCAAGCUCCAGCAGGAAUCCUUUCCUUUAUUUUUCUUUUCCACCCUGGAGGCUCAUUUCCCCACCAAAUCCAGCCGACACAGCACUUGCCUUCCCCUCCCACAGCCUGAACUUGGCCAGCCUCUCAAGUUCCAGAGGUGUGAGCCUCAGAGUGGGGCCCUCCUGGCUUGUGGAAAUUUCCCGGGUCCACAGAAGCCUGUUCUACAGACGCCCUCAGGAAGCGCAGGGCAAGCAGGCCACCAGGACCUGGGGUGCUGGCUCAGACCCUAUCUCUCUGACCUUGGCCACAGGGAGGGGUGGGAGGGGUCCACUGAAAGCUGAGGAGGCAGCAGUACCGGAGACUCUCUCCCCCCGACUCUGUGCCACCCCCGACCCUGACCUGCGCCCACCAACAGACAUCCCUCUGAACCAGGUGUUACUUCCUCCUCAACUCAUGUACUCUCCUACACUGUCUUCGAGUCCCCAAUUUACUGGUGAGAAAACACGCUCCGAGUCAGCUUUGAAACCGGGUCCAUUGGGUUCAAAGUCCAAGCUCUUUCUGGAGCCGUCAUUCCCUUUGUGCCCUUCCUUGUUUGUCUGGCAUGUCACCACCUCCAGAAAGCCUUCCUGGUCAUCACCCAAGGCCACGCUUCUCUCCCCUUCCGAGUGCCUACUGUUGGAACCACAAGGCACAUCUCCGUACUUGUGGGCAGAAAAGGACUCGGAUGUGCCUGGCACAGCAGUGAUCUCUGUUGAGAGAAGGGGUGAAAAGGCGCAGUUUUCAGGAGUACACAGACCUGUCAGGUGCUUUGCCUCCCUGUCCAGUCCUGAGCUGCUCAGCUUCUUCUCACCCCGCCACUAUUCUCCACCCGUCCUCACGCCCCGCGGGCUGGCCUCGCAGACACGUACUGACUCCCCUCUGCAAGGCGUCAUCCGUUUCCCCUCCUGCCACUCAGCUUGCCUCCUGGACGUCAGCAGGACCCCCAGAUAUUCAUGAGCAGCCCCUGCGGCUGGGCACCCUCAGAGGGCCCGGUGGGAGCUUCUCUUCCUCCAAACGAGCUGCAGUCCAGCACGUCCGCGUCAGACCCGGAGCUCACCCCCCUGCCGCCGCCAAAACCCGCUUCAAUGAUUAGCGAAGGUGCCAGGGAAAUUAUGAAAACCAUGUGACAGGUAAAUGGCUGUUCCUGCAACUUUCUUAGGUUUCAAAGGGAGGGCAGCUUGCUCCAGCGUGUGGGCUGGGAAGUCAGGCUUGGCAAGCACUUUCCAGAAGGCACGGGCACAGCAGACCUUACAGAAUUCUGCUUUCCUCUCAGUGGAAUCCAACGGGGCCCCUGGGCCUCCUGAGGCUGAGACCGCCUGUGGACCAGGCUCUGUCCAAACACGGUGCCUUUGUUCCUCCGCCUGAAGGGCGAACAUGCAGACAUUCUGAGCAGGAAGGGAGUGGUGUAAGCAGGUCGGGGGGCGGGGGGUGGGCCCGAGCUUGAGGACCCCUUGAUUACUCAGACCAAUCUUCUCAUGUUCCCAGCCGGGAAACUGAGGCCCAGAGCAAGGAGUUGGCCUGGUGUCAAACAGCUUCUAGGAGACGGAGCCAUGGCUACAGGGAACAAUCGGUGUUUGUCUCAAAUCUUGGGGAAGCUUGAGUGAUACAUGUCCAUGAGGACUUGUGUCCAGAAGCUUCUGUUCACAUUGGCUGGAAAAAAUGCCGCAGGCACAUGGAUUGGCCUUAUCGCAUCUGUGCAUAAUGCUGGGCGUGGCCUGUGGGGCGUAAGGUCAGUGAAGCCUGGCUGGGAUGCACACCGAGAUGCUUGUCAUCCGCCCUGUCCCCCUGGCUCUGUGCCCCAGGUGUCUGGAUGCUCAAAGAACUCACAGGCAGACGACGUCCUAGAAUAGAGCUCAACCUGGGCAAAGGCUGGCUUUGGCAUGGAGAGGCAAGAGUCUACAGUUGCCAAACACCACAGUGGUUCUAAAGGCUACAGGAUUCCAUGAAACACGUGCAAGCAUUUUUGUUGUUGUUGUUUAGGGCCGCACUUGCGGCUUAUGGCAUUUCCCAGGCUAAGGGGCGAAUCAGAGCUGCAGCUGCCGGCUUACGCCACAGCCACAGCAAGAGGGACUUGAGCCUACCCACAGCUCAUGGCAACACCAGAUCCUUCAUCCACUGAGUGAGGCCAGGGAUCGAACCCGCAUCCUCACGGAGACUAGUCGGGUUCGUUUCCACUGCACCACAAUGGGAACUCCCCUGUGAAAGCAUCUUUAGCACCUUGAUUCUGGGGCUCCUACAGGUGGUCCUUAUGUAAACAUAUACUGAGCAAUUCUUAUUUGCUAGCACCUUCAAUAGCUCCCUAUUACCUGCAAGAAAUGGAGCCUAAGCCCUUCUUCCUGUGAUCCUAAAUAUCCUUAUGGAUGUAUCUGUCCUAUUUCUCACGUGUCCUCUUUGGAAACUCAGUACAUACCAUUCACAGCCAUCGUUCUGAAAUCACCUCUGACUCUUUUAAAACCAUGGCCUGGAAUGUUCUUGUCUCUAUCUAUCUGGAGGACUCUUCAUCCUUCUCUCUGACCCAACAACCCCACAAAGAAGGUGACACUUCUCCAUCUGCUCUUCCUUCUCCCAGUCCCCAGGCAGUUGUAGCUUCAAAGCCUAUCUCAAACCUGACCCUUGGCACCCUCUGCAUGGGCGGUCCACUCCCAGCUCCAUGCCACCCUCACCCCUUUCCUGGUCUCCUUGGGGAGGCUCCCCGCUGGUCUCCCUGCUUCCGGUCUACUCCCAUGGCAAGUCGUUCUCCGGGCAGCAGCCGGGGUGAUGUUUUGUCCAUCACACAUCGGAUCCGAUCACUUCUGUGCUCUAGGCCCCCCACAACCCCCACCGUAAACCUCACCCUUGUUGCCGCCGUCUCUCUUGCCUGUCUCUCUGUGGUCGCAUCUACUCUCCGCCUUUUCUCUGCGUUCCUGCCACAGCGAGCCCCUUCUCGUUCCUUGAACAUACGGAGAUUCUUCGGGAACCUUUGCCUUUGGAUGUGCCUGGAAGGCUCUCCUGCCCCUGAUCCUCGCUCAGGGCUGGCUCUUCUCAUAAUUCAGUCUUGGCUCACAAAUCCCCUCCUAGAGAGGUCUUCUCUGGCUGUUCUAUCCAAAGGAGCCUCCUUUGUAUCCUCUGCUGGUUGUCUUUGCUGCAGCCAUCCCUGUAUGAAGUGAUGCUGUGUACUUGUUUCUGUGUUUAUCCCCUGUGCCUCCCACCGUCGUAGAUGGACCUCAGGGAUGCUCUAUCCGGGAUGGUCUUGGCUUUAUGGAUGCAUCGCCAGCGUAUAAAGCAGCCCAGGUGCCGAGUGGGUGGUUAAUAAUAAACACCUCUGAGGGCCUGCACCCCGCAGACAGGGCCUAAUGGAAGAAAGAGAUCCUUGUAGGUUUCCUCUAGGAAGAGGAACCCGGAUGAGCCCUAACAAGACGGCAGGAUGUGUGCAGGUGGAGCGAUGCGGAGAUGGUGUCCCAGGAAGUGGGUCCAGCCAGGAGCAUAAGCUGAAGGGUCAGAAGGAGAGAAGAAGCCAGAGAGAGAACAGCGGGGAGGGAGGCUGAGAGCAGAAGACGCAAGGUCAGCUCUGUGCCUAGGCGAGAGCCUGGGGGUGGGGGCAGACGUUGGAGGCCCAGGAAGGCCAGCUGAGAAGGCCCUUUUCCUUCUCUCACCUUCGCACUGUUUCCCUACAGCCGCGGUUUGCACGCACGCGGUGUUAGUUCUAAUUGAAAAGGAACCUGGGGUGUCACAUAACAUCCUCAUCAGCGAAUGGAAGUGAGGCUCACCCCUGCUGGGACCGAACCUUGUCUGUGCUGAUACAGGGUCUUGAGGGGCAGGAAUAGCAAGCUAUAGAGACUUUGCCCGCAAAUGGGCUCAAAUGGAAUCCAGCCACAGA